CAAUAGCGUAUAUUAAAGUUGUUGCAGUUAAAAAGCUCGUAGUUGGAUUUCUGGUUGAAGCGACCGGUCGGGCGUUGAUUCGUCUGCACUGGAGUCGGUUUUGGCCAUCCUCUAGGAAAGUGCGUCUGGUAUUAAGUUGUCGGGCGUAUGAUCCUGGUCUUUUACUGUGAAAAAUUAGAGUGUUUAAAGCAGGCCUUCGCCUUGAAUACAUUAGCAUGGAAUAAUAAGAUAGGACUUUGGUCUAUUUUGUUUGGUUUGUCAGACCGAAGUAAUGAUUAAUAGGGAUAGUUGGGGGCGAUUCGUAUUUAACUGUCAGAGGUGGAAAUUCUUGGAUUUGUUUAAAGAACGGACUACUGCGAAAGACAUUUGUCCAAGGAUGUUUUCUAUUGAUCAAGAACGAAAGUUAGGGGAUCGAAGACGAUUAGAUACCAU
rnacentral:rRNA from 1 species